rnacentral:rRNA from 1 species
UUAAGCGACUAAGCGUACACGGUGGAUGCCUAGGCAGUCAGAGGCGAUGAAGGGCGUGCUAAUCUGCGAAAAGCGUCGGUAAGCUGAUAUGAAGCGUAAUAACCGACGAUACCCGAAUGGGGAAACCCAGUGCAAUUCGUUGCACUAUUGCAUGGUGAAUACAUAGCCAUGCAAGGCGAACCGGGGGAACUGAAACAUCUAAGUACCCCGAGGAAAAGAAAUCAACCGAGAUUCCCCCAGUAGCGGCGAGCGAACGGGGAAGAGCCCAGAGUCUGAAUCAGUUGGUGUGUUAGUGGAAGCGUCUGGAAAGUCGCACGGUACAGGGUGAUAGUCCCGUACACAAAAAUACACUGGCUGUGAACUCGAUGAGUAGGGCGGGACACGUGACAUCCUGUCUGAAUAUGGGGGGACCAUCCUCCAAGGCUAAAUACUCCUGACUGACCGAUAGUGAACCAGUACCGUGAGGGAAAGGCGAAAAGAACCCCGGCGAGGGGAGUGAAAUAGAACCUGAAACCGUGUACGUACAAGCAGUGGGAGCACCUUCGUGGUGUGACUGCGGACCUUUUGUAUAAUGGGUCAGCGACUUAUAUUUUGUAGCAAGGUUAACCGAAUAGGGGAGCCGUAGGGAAACCGAGUCUUAACUGGGCGUCUAGUUGCAAGGUAUAGACCCGAAACCCGGUGAUCUAGCCAUGGGCAGGUUGAAGGUUGGGUAACACUAACUGGAGGACCGAACCGACUAAUGUUGAAAAAUUAGCGGAUGACUUGUGGCUGGGGGUGAAAGGCCAAUCAAACCGGGAGAUAGCUGGUUCUCCCCGAAAGCUAUUUAGGUAGCGCCUCGUGAACUCAUCUUCGGGGGUAGAGCACUGUUUCGGCUAGGGGUCCAUCCCGGAUUACCAAACCGAUGCAAACUCCGAAUACCGAAGAAUGUUAUCACGGGAGACACACGGCGGGUGCUAACGUCCGUCGUGAAGAGGGAAACAACCCAGACCGCCAGCUAAGGUCCCAAAGUCAUGGUUAAGUGGGAAACGAUGUGGGAAGGCAUAGACAGCCAGGAUGUUGGCUUAGAAGCAGCCAUCAUUUAAAGAAAGCGUAAUAGCUCACUGGUCGAGUCGGCCUGCGCGGAAGAUGUAACGGGGCUAAACCAUGCACCGAAGCUGCGGCAGCGACGCUUAGGCGUUGUUGGGUAGGGGAGCGUUCUGUAAGCCGUUGAAGGUGGCCUGUGAGGGCUGCUGGAGGUAUCAGAAGUGCGAAUGCUGACAUAAGUAACGAUAAUGCGGGUGAAAAACCCGCACGCCGGAAGACCAAGGGUUCCUGUCCAACGUUAAUCGGGGCAGGGUGAGUCGACCCCUAAGGCGAGGCUGAAAAGCGUAGUCGAUGGGAAACAGGUUAAUAUUCCUGUACUGGGUGUGACUGCGAAGGGGGGACGGAGAAGGCUAGGCUAGCCGGGCGACGGUUGUCCCGGUUUAAGCAUGUAGGCGGAGCGACUUGGUAAAUCCGGUUGCUUAUCAACGCUGAGGUGUGAUGACGAGCCACUACGGUGGUGAAGUAGUUGAUGCCAAGCUUCCAGGAAAAGCCUCUAAGCAUCAGGUGACAUUCAAUCGUACCCCAAACCGACACAGGUGGUCAGGUAGAGAAUACUCAGGCGCUUGAGAGAACUCGGGUGAAGGAACUAGGCAAAAUGGUGCCGUAACUUCGGGAGAAGGCACGCUGGCAUUAGGUAAAGAGACUUGCUCUCGGCGCCGAAGCCAGUCGCAGAUACCAGCUGGCUGCAACUGUUUAAUAAAAACACAGCACUGUGCAAACACGAAAGUGGACGUAUACGGUGUGACGCCUGCCCGGUGCUGGAAGGUUAAUUGAUGGGGUCAGCCGCAAGGCGAAGCUCUUGAUCGAAGCCCCAGUAAACGGCGGCCGUAACUAUAACGGUCCUAAGGUAGCGAAAUUCCUUGUCGGGUAAGUUCCGACCUGCACGAAUGGCGUAAUGAUGGCCAGGCUGUCUCCACCCGAGACUCAGUGAAAUUGAACUCGCUGUGAAGAUGCAGUGUACCCGCGGCAAGACGGAAAGACCCCGUGAACCUUUACUAUAGCUUGACACUGAAUAUUGAGCCUUGAUGUGUAGGAUAGGUGGGAGGCAUCGAAGCGUGGACGCCAGUCUGCGUGGAGCCAACCUUGAAAUACCACCCUUUAAUGUUUGAUGUUCUAACUCGGCCCCAUAAUCUGGGGUGAGGACAGUGUCUGGUGGGUAGUUUGACUGGGGCGGUCUCCUCCCAAAGAGUAACGGAGGAGCACGAAGGUUAGCUAAUCACGGUCGGACAUCGUGAGGUUAGUGCAAAGGCAUAAGCUAGCUUGACUGCGAGAGUGACGGCUCGAGCAGGUACGAAAGUAGGUCUUAGUGAUCCGGUGGUUCUGAAUGGAAGGGCCAUCGCUCAACGGAUAAAAGGUACUCCGGGGAUAACAGGCUGAUACCGCCCAAGAGUUCAUAUCGACGGCGGUGUUUGGCACCUCGAUGUCGGCUCAUCACAUCCUGGGGCUGAAGUAGGUCCCAAGGGUAUGGCUGUUCGCCAUUUAAAGUGGUACGCGAGCUGGGUUUAGAACGUCGUGAGACAGUUCGGUCCCUAUCUGCCGUGGGCGUUGGAAGAUUGAGAGGGGCUGCUCCUAGUACGAGAGGACCGGAGUGGACGCAUCACUGGUGUUCGGGUUGUCAUGCCAAUGGCAUUGCCCGGUAGCUAAAUGCGGAAAAGAUAAGCGCUGAAAGCAUCUAAGCGCGAAACUUGCCUCGAGAUGAGUCUUCCCUGGGGCUUUAAGCCCCCUGAAGGAACGUUAAAGACUAUGACGUUGAUAGGCUGGGUGUGUAAGUGCAGCGAUGCAUUGAGCUAACCAGUACUAAUGAUCCGUGAGGCUUAACCUU